rnacentral:rRNA from 1 species
CUUCUUUAUCACCGAGUGCUUGCACUCACCGAUAAAGAGUUUAGUGGCGAACGGGUGAGUAACACGUGGGCAACCUGCCCAAAAGAGGGGGAUAACACUUGGAAACAGGUGCUAAUACCGCAUAACCAUAGUUACCGCAUGGUAACUAUGUAAAAGGUGGCUAUGCUACCGCUUUUGGAUGGGCCCGCGGCGCAUUAGCUAGUUGGUGGGGUAAUGGCUUACCAAGGCAAUGAUGCGUAGCCGAACUGAGAGGUUGAUCGGCCACAUUGGGACUGAGACACGGCCCAAACUCCUACGGGAGGCAGCAGUAGGGAAUCUUCCACAAUGGGCGAAAGCCUGAUGGAGCAACGCCGCGUGGGUGAAGAAGGUCUUCGGAUCGUAAAACCCUGUUGUUAGAGAAGAAAGUGCGUGAGAGUAACUGUUCACGUUUCGACGGUAUCUAACCAGAAAGCCACGGCUAACUACGUGCCAGCAGCCGCGGUAAUACGUAGGUGGCAAGCGUUAUCCGGAUUUAUUGGGCGUAAAGGGAACGCAGGCGGUCUUUUAAGUCUGAUGUGAAAGCCUUCGGCUUAACCGGAGUAGUGCAUUGGAAACUGGGAGACUUGAGUGCAGAAGAGGAGAGUGGAACUCCAUGUGUAGCGGUGAAAUGCGUAGAUAUAUGGAAGAACACCAGUGGCGAAAGCGGCUCUCUGGUCUGUAACUGACGC